rnacentral:pre_miRNA from 1 species
UUUGAGGGGAAUGUUGUCUGGCUCGAGGCCGCCAUAACAGUUUUUCACCCUUUUUUUCUUUUUUUUUUUUGGUUCUUCUGGAUCUCGGACCAGGCUUCAUUCCCCCCAAU